AGUGAACGCUGGCGGUAGGCCUAACACAUGCAAGUCGAACGGCAGCACAGUAAGAGCUUGCUCUUACGGGUGGCGAGUGGCGGACGGGUGAGGAAUACAUCGGAAUCUACUUUUUCGUGGGGGAUAACGUAGGGAAACUUACGCUAAUACCGCAUAUGACCUACGGGUGAAAGCAGGGGAUCUUCGGACCUUGCGCGAUUGAAUGAGCCGAUGUCGGAUUAGCUAGUUGGCGGGGUAAAGGCCCACCAAGGCGACGAUCCGUAGCUGGUCUGAGAGGAUGAUCGGCCACACUGGAACUGAGACACGGUCCAGACUCCUACGGGAGGCAGCAGUAGGGAAUAUUGGACAAUGGGCGCAAGCUUGAUCCAGCCAUACCGCGUGGGUGAAGAAGGCCUUCGGGUUGUAAAGCCCUUUUGUUGGGAAAGAAAAGCAGCAGGUUAAUACCCCGCUGUUCUGACGGUACCCAAAGAAUAAGCACCGGCUAACUUCGUG
rnacentral:rRNA from 1 species